rnacentral:lncRNA from 1 species
UAAGUCGUAUGAAAAAUGUCUCAUUUCUCCUUUGUGUUAGCAUAAAAACAUUGAGCGUGGAAAAAGUUAAACCCCAUGAAUUAAUCUAGCAACUGAUGCCUACAAAGACAAGAAAAUAGCAAAGUCCAUCCACAUUUUAGACAUUAAUUAGUCGAAUUAUUUAGUUAACUUUAGUCCUUUUAAUUUGAUAUGUAAUAACGGACUCAAAAAAUUAUACAUUAGUUCAAAAGUAAGUUACAUCUAUAUAAACUACAUACACUAAUAUUGUUCUUGUUCCUAUAUAAGUAUUGAAUUAAAACAUCUUAUUGCAUUACAUAUAUAAGUAAUUAGGCUUGAUCAAGACUUUGAGUUAAAGAGGGAACUUAGGCCAAAGAAAAGCACCCAUAGCAAAGUUUCUUUUGUAAGCCAAAUCACCAUUUGUAGGCAAACCAUAUUCCUUAAGGAGACUAUCAAGCUUCCAUUCAGGCAUGUCUUGGUAGUCUUUUUCUGUGUAUCUUGGAUAGUGAAGAGGCAUCUGAAAAAAGCUAACAUUAUUCUGUUUUGGACUCUCCAUUGUCUAAUGAUAUUUUCUUAAUAUAUGUUGUUACUAGGGAAAUAAUAUUGUAUUUAAUAGUUGAAGAAGAGAUAGUUAAUAUAUAUUUGGAGUGUUAAUGUUAGGUUGAUGCAAGGCUCUGUUGGCAUGAUAGGUAUCACAUGAAUGAGUUGGUUUACCUUCUCUCAUGCAUUUUGUAACUAAAGUG